CCUACGGGGGGCGGCAGCUAAGAAUAUUCCGCAAUGGACGAAAGUCUGACGGAGCGACGCCGCGUGCAGGAAGACGGCCCUAUGGGUUGUAAACUGCUUUUAUACGGGAGCAAUAAGGUCUACGUGUAGACUGAUGAGAGUACCGUAUGAAUAAGCAUCGGCUAACUCCGUGCCAGCAGCCCCGGUC
rnacentral:rRNA from 1 species